rnacentral:rRNA from 1 species
GUGGGGAAUAUUGGACAAUGGGCGAAAGCCUGAUCCAGCCAUGCCGCGUGUGUGAAGAAGGUCUUCGGAUUGUAAAGCACUUUAAGUUGGGAGGAAGGGCAGUAAGUUAAUACCUUGCUGUUUUGACGUUACCAACAGAAUAAGCACCGGCUAACUUCGUGCCAGCAGCCGCGGUAAUACGAAGGGUGCAAGCGUUAAUCGGAAUUACUGGGCGUAAAGCGCGCGUAGGUGGUGUUGUAAGUUGAAGGUGAAAUCCCCGGGCUCAACCUGGGAACUGCCUCCAAAACUGCAUGGCUAGAGUACGGUAGAGGGUAGUGGAAUUUCCUGUGUAGCGGUGAAAUGCGUAGAUAUAGGAAGGAACACCAGUGGCGAAGGCGACUACCUGGACUGAUACUGACACUGAGGUGCGAAAGCGUGGGGAGCAAACAGGAUUAGAAACCCUGGUAGUCC